rnacentral:rRNA from 1 species
AGUAAUACGUAGGCAACCUGCCCCAAAGCGGGGGAUAGCAGUUGGAAACGACUAUUAAUACCGCAUACGGUAAUAGGGAGGCAUCUCCUUAUUAUUAAAGGUGCGUUUGCACCGCUGUGGGAUGGGCUUACGCUGUAUUAGCUAGUUGGUGAGGUAACGGCCCACCGAGGCGAUGAUACAUAGCCGGUCUGAGAGGAUGAACGGCCACAUUGGGACUGAGACACGGCCCAGACUCCUACGGGAGGCAGCAGUAAGGAAUUUUCGGCAAUGGACGAAAGUCUGACCGAGCAACGCCGCGUGAGUGAUGAAGGUCUUCGGAUCGUAAAGCUCUGUGGUAAAGGAAGAAUACCAUGUUUAGGAAAUGAUUCAUGGCUGACGGUACUUUACUAGAAAGUCACGGCUUACUACGUG